GUAGUCCACGCCAUAAACGAUGACAACUAGAUGUCGGGAGGGUUAGCCUCUUGGUGUCGCAGCUAACGCGUUAAGUUGUCCGCCUGGGGAGUACGGCCGCAAGGUUGAAACUCAAAUGAAUUGACGGGGACCCGCACAAGCGGUGGAGCAUGUGGUUCAAUUCGAUGCAACGCGAAGAACCUUACCUGGCCUUGACAUGUCCGGAAGAUCCCAGAGAUGGGGUUGUGCCCGAAAGGGAACCGGAACACAGGUGCUGCAUGGCUGUCGUCAGCUCGUGUCGUGAGAUGUUGGGUUAAGUCCCGCAACGAGCGCAACCCUUGUCUUUAGUUGCCAGCACUUCGGGUGGGCACUCUAAAGAGACCGCCGGUGACAAACCGGAGGAAGGUGGGGAUGACGUCAAGUCAUCAUGGCCUUUAUGGCCAGGGCUACACACGUGCUACAAUGGCCGGUACAAAGGGUUGCCAACCCGCAAGGGGGAGCUAAUCCCAUAAAGCCGGUCGUAGUCCGGAUCGGAGUCUGCAACUCGACUCCGUGAAGUUGGAAUCGCUAGUAAUCGCAAAUCAGCACUGUUGCGGUGAAUA
rnacentral:rRNA from 1 species